AAGUCGUAACAAGGUUUCCGUAGGUGAACCUGCGGAAGGAUCAUUAUUGAAUUUAAUGUAGAGUUGGUUGUAGCUGGCCUAAUUAAUAAUUUGGGCAUGUGCACACCUUCUCUUUCAUCCACACACACCUGUGCACCUGUGAGACAGAGUGGGAAUUUUAAUUUAAUUUAAUUGGACCCUCUGUCUACUUAAUUCACACAAACUCUAUUUAUUAUAAAAUGAAUGUAAUUGAUGUAACGCAUCUAAUACUAAGUUUCAACAACGGAUCUCUUGGCUCUC
rnacentral:misc_RNA from 1 species